UGGGGAAUUUUGGACAAUGGGCGCAAGCCUGAUCCAGCCAUGCCGCGUGCGGGAAGAAGGCCUUCGGGUUGUAAACCGCUUUUGUCAGGGAAGAAAUCUUCUGAGUUAAUACCUCGGGAGGAUGACGGUACCUGAAGAAUAAGCACCGGCUAACUACGUGCCAGCAGCCGCGGUAAUACGUAGGGUGCAAGCGUUAAUCGGAAUUACUGGGCGUAAAGCGUGCGCAGGCGGUUUUGUAAGACAGAGGUGAAAUCCCCGGGCUCAACCUGGGGACUGCCUUUGUGACUGCAAGGCUUGAGUGCGGCAGAGGGGAUGGAAUUCCGCGUGUAGCAGUGAAAUGCGUAGAUAUGCGGAGGAACACCGAUGGCGAAGGCAAUCCCCUGGGCCUGCACUGACGCUCAUGCACGAAAGCGUGGGGAGCAAACAGGAUUAGAUACCCUGGUAGUCCACGCCCUAAACGAUGUCAACUGGUUGUUGGGAAGGUUCCUUCUCAGUAACGUAGCUAACGCGUGAAGUUG
rnacentral:rRNA from 1 species